GUAGGUGGCAAGCGUUGUCCGGGAAUUAUUGGGGCGUAAAGCGCGCGCAGGCGGUUCUUUAAGUCUGAUGUGAAAGCCCACGGGCUCAACCGUGGAGGGUCAUUGGAAACUGGAGAACUUGAGUACAGAAGAGGAAAGCGGAAUUCCACGUGUAGCGGUGAAAUGCGUAGAGAUGUGGAGGAACACCAGUGGCGAAGGCGGCGUUUCUGGUCUGUAACUGACGCUGAGGCGCGAAAGCGUGGGGAGCAAACAGGAUUAGAUACCCUGGUAGUCCACGCCGUAAACGAUGAGUGCUAAGUGUUAGGGGGUUUCCGCCCCUUAGUGCUGCAGCUAACGCAUUAAGCACUCCGCCUGGGGAGUACGGCCGCAAAGGCUGA
rnacentral:rRNA from 1 species